rnacentral:lncRNA from 1 species
GGAAUAGGAGCACACCUUUGACAUUUAUCACACUUUUUGACAUAUGCUGCCGAAUCCUUUUUCAUCGUGGGCCAAUAAUAUCCUUGUGAAUGAGCUCUAUGUGCCAGAGAUCGUCCUCUUGAAUGAUUUCCGCAUAUUCCUUCAUGCAACUCAGCUAAUACGUACUAGGCCUCUGAUUGUCUUAGGCACCGAAGGUAGGGUCUUGUGAAGGAUCGCUUGUACAAGUGCCCCUCGAUUAUGGUGAAACGGACAGCUUGCACGCGGACCUUGUGCGCUCGUUUGGGAUCUUUGG